GCUCACAUCCUGGGCUCAAAGCCCUAGUGACACAGAUUAUUCAGUUGGGGCACUGAUGUCCGGUCUGACUUCCCUCCAGGCCCCAGGGUCUAUGCUAAACCAGGCAGUGAGAUUGUAAUACUCCAAUGAUCACUGCUAAAGACACAUUAGGGAAAAGAACAGAGAAGAAAUCAAAAGAUCCCUUCCUGAUUUCAGGGAGGAGGAGACAGACAGGCGUUUGGGGUUUGUCGAACGGGAGACGGAGGGAGUGGGUACAGACUUCAACCUAUUCCCUCAUUAUGUUUACAUUCAACACAAACCACUAGCGGGGCUGGGAAGCAAACAUAAUCAACAACUUUUCGGAUUUUAAACUCAUCACCUUGGUGCUCAUUACGAAGGGUGCAUUGACUGCACCCUCAAUGAACAGACUAGGCUGUCUCUACUGUGGGUGCUUAUAGGAGCACCAUGGGAGGCAGAGGGAAGACAGAAAAGCCAUUUUGGGGACUCACCAGGUAUAGGGAAUCACUUUGGAACAAGGGACCCCCCCAUCAGAUCCAAAAGAGAGCCACGUUCCAAAAUUCUUUCCAGCUGAGUCCACCCCUCCCUGGAAGCCCACCCUAGCCCCUUCUAGAGGCCAAGGCCACCGCCUUAUGGAGCAUGAGCAUCCCUUGCUGCAGCCAACUAUGCUAGACUCCACAGAUGCUGACCACGGUGGGCUUCAUGUUGUAUUGGGCCUGCGUUAACCCAGCUCUCUCUCGAGACAGAGCGGGUGGGGGAGCUGCAGCAGAGGGCAGACACGCCAUCAGCACCCCCCCGCCAACAGCACCUUCCUGGUAUUUAUAAACACAGAGAUCACACGCACAAUCCCUCCAGUGCAAACCAGUCCGGCUGCUUUAGAAACAAGUUGUUUUCUGCUUCCAGAACCACCCAGGAGCCUGCGUGAUGUCUCUUCCCCCACCCGACCCCCUCUUCCCUCUGCCGGUCUCCUUGCUCCAGGAUCUGCACAAGCAGAGGCGGCACAGGGUUUGGCUUCCAGUUGGGAAAUGAAGCUCCAAGGGCAGCCCUACUAUGGCGGGCUGUGUGACCUGGGCCAAGCCCCUUGACAUCUCCAGACUCGGCUUCCACAUCUGCCACCACCAGGACACUGGAUUGAAUGUUGGGUACGUUGUAAGGCAAGGGAGACACAGAAGUCCUAAAGGCAAUAAAGCUUUUCCCCACUGCCCCUCCAUCUGGACGAGUCUCCUGCCAAGCAUCUUCAAGUCCCACUUUGAAACACGAUUCUGCCACCUUCCUGUUCUGAGGAUCUGGGAAAGCAAGGGGGAAGGGGCUAUUGGGAGUCCCGCUUGCUCCAGGCCCAGACCAGGAGGCUCAGGCAGGCUUAUCUACUUCUGAUGUGGUGGGGGGCCCAGGAUGCUGCCAGGGUCUCACAGCCAUGGUCUCACAGCCACUAUCAGCCUGUCCUCAAGGGUAUAAGAGAAGCUGGAAGCCUAGAUGGGCACUGCCCUCAGGCAACUUCCAAUCCAGCCAAGAAGAAUAAAGAGUAACACACAAAAUAUUGGGGGCAUGAGGCAAUAACUGUGGGUACACCUAUAAAAACCUCUAAUUGGGCUUACCUGGUACCAGACAGUAUUUUAAUUGGAUCAUAUAUAGUGCAUUAAUUCAGUUAAUAUUCACAACACCCCUAUGAGGUAGCUACAAUUAUUAUCCCCAUUCGAUGAUGGGGAAAACUGACAUCAGAAGAGGUCAACUUGCCCAAGUUUCCAGAGCUGAAAAGCAACAGAGCUGAGAUUUCACUGCAGGUAUUCUGGCCCCAGAGUCUUGGUACAAAUAGUGUUAAUGAACAAGUCUUCUUCUGGUAAGAGCACCCCAAUUUUCCUUUGGAGAACCUCCACUUCCUCAUUUCAUGUGCCAUGGGUGACCCUACCCUUGAGCUCUUGAGGUGAACACAUGGACACACGAUCCAGUCCUGACCAAACAGAAUAUCUCACUUCCCUGGCUACAGUUAGUGAUAGGUUCAGGAUUGUAGCAAUGACCCAAGACUGGCUUCUGAGAGUCACAUUUGAGACUGUGGCUCAAACUCUUAGAGAAGCACUCGUUUUUCAACUGAGACACUACAGUCUUUACUACUCCUUGAAGACGGACUACCAGGAAGAAAGCCAACCUAGAGGGCUGCAAAGCUGAGCAGUGGAGAACAGCAAGUUCCUGAUGACAUUGUUUGAUGGCCUAAACCCCAUUAUACUUCCACUGGUUAUCUCCCUGGACUUUCCUGUUACACAGAAAUUAUCCCUUUUGUGUUGAAGCCAAUUUGAAUUGGAUAUCUGUCACUUACAACCAAAAAGGUCCAAAUGUGCUAGUGAACACAGAGCACAUACUGUGAGCAACUACUCUUUUUCUUCUUUCUUUCUUUCUUUUUUCUGAGACAGAGUCUUUCUCUGUCACCCAGGCUGGAGUGCAGUGGUGCAAUCUCGGCUCACUGCAACCUCUGCCUCCUGGGUUCAAGUGAUUCUCCUGCCUCAGCCUCCCGAGUAGCUGGGAUUAUAGACACGUGCCACCACGCCCGGCUAAUUUUUGUAUUCUUAGUAGAGACGGGGUUUCACCAUGUUGGCCAGGCUGGUCUCGAACUCCUGACCUUGUGAUCUGCCCACCUCGGCCUCCUAAAGUGCUGGGAUUACAGGUGUGAGCCACCGCGCCCGGCCCGAGCACCUAAGCUUUUCAAGACAUUUCCAGAAAAACAAAUGCAGGUAAGAAAGGAUCAGUCUUCAAAGAACUUGGAAGCUGGUGAGGGAUUACAAAGAUUCUCAAAUAACUUUAAAACAAGUCAGAACACAAUUGACAGCACAAGGCAGCUACCCGGGUUCUCUGGUUAAUGCAAAGGGUGAGAAUUUUCUAUAUUGGAUGGAACACAUCAGAAAAGUUCUCACGAAGGUGGUAGCAGUGAAAUUGGCCUCAGAAGUCUGAUAGGAUGUUGGCAGGUGAAGGCAGGGAAGCUACAGGGCAGACAGCAUGAGGAAGGGCCCAGGUUCAGGGAAGUAUGGGCAUGCAGGGGCAAGUGUAAAUUGAUGGGAUUGCCUGGGACCAGAGGAAAGGUCUAAAACGUACAGUCUGAGGCUGGGGCGGGGUGGGGAAAGGAUGGUUCUGAGGUAUCUGAAGUAUCUCCAAAUAUCUGAAGAUAUUCCCCAUGGAAAAGAAACUAGGCUUAUUUGGAGUGACCCCAGAGGACAAGACUACGACUAAAAAUGGACGCUCGCAAAUGGAGGAAGUAGACCUGACCCCUGACUAAGGAAGAUGGUGCUACCUGUUUGGGGCAAAUGUUCAAAAAGAGGCUGUGUCUGUAUGGUGGAUGCUGUUAAAAGGGACUCAGAAACCAAAUGAGAGUCUGAAUUAGCUGAGUUUAACAUUCUGUGAGUUUUGUGCCAGACUUGGGACUACUGCAGAAGACCCUGGGAGAGUUGGGAUUGAAUUCCAAAGGCAGUGCUGAUGGACACUGACUUGAGGAGCCAGGAAAGAAGGCAGGAACAGUGGUGGGGAUCACAGCCUCACCUGUAUCUGUGCACUUCUAUAAAUUCACAGACUGGGAAUUUUUAAUGUGAACUGGAUAUUAGAUGAUGACCAGGAAUUGUUUUAAUUCUGUUAGGUGGGAUAAUACCAUUCACUGUGCUGUGUAAGAUAAUGUCCAUAUUGUUUAGAGAUGCAUACUGAAGAAUAUAGGAUGAAAUGACAUAAUGUUUGGAUUUUUUAUUUUAAAUAUUUCAGCAAAAUGUGGGGACAAAUUUUAUAUACAUUAUUUUUUCACACAUAUGUGGUAUUCAUAUAUACACAAAUGUAUAUAUUACACACAUGUAUAUGUACAUACAUAUAUGGGUGUAUAUCUAUGUGGGUAUGUGUAUAUGCUACAUGCAUGUGCAUAGCUGGUUAGCAAAUAGAAUAGUUAACAAAAUAAGCCAGACACAAGAUAAUACAUAUUGUUCCAUUAUAUACUUUUUUUUUUUUUUUUGAGACGGAGUCUAGCUCUGUCACCCAGCUGGAGUGCAGUGGCACAAUCUUGGCUCACUGCAACCUCCACCUCCCGGAUUCACAAGCGAUUCUCCUGCCUCAGCCUCCCAAGUAGCUGGGAUUACAGGCCCCUGCCACCAUGCCUGGCUAAUUUUUGUAUUUUUAGUACAGACAGAGUUUCACUGUGUUGGCCAGGCUGGUCUCAAACUCCUGACCUCGUGAUCCGCCCGCCUCGGCCUCCCAAAGUGCUGGAAUUACAAGCAUGAGCCACGUGCCUGGCCUAUAUACAUUUUUUUAAGGCAAAUGAAUCUAUGAUGGUAGAAGUCAGGGCAUGGUUGGCCUUGUAGGGUCAGGGGAAGGCAGAGACGAGAGGGGUCCAAGGGCCUCUGGUGCUGGCUGAGUGCUGUUUCUAGGCUGAGUAAUGUGUGCACAGGCCUGCUGGCUCUGUGCAAACUCAUUGAGCUGUGCACAUGAUUUGUGUACCUUAUGUAUGUUUUAGACUUCAAUAAAUUCACUCCAAAAUACCACCCCCUACACACAAACACACAGACACAGACACACAGACACACACACACACAGACACACACACACACACACACACACACACACACACACACACACACACGGGGAGAGAUCUGAAGUAAGUAGGAUUCCUCCAUUGAUCAUUUCUUGAGAAGCGGGGAGAAGACAUGCUCUGGGCUAUGCUUUAAGCAAGAGUUUUCCAAACAAAUUUGCUACUUUCCAGAGUGAGAUGUUUUUUUCCCAUGACCCAUGGGGCAUAUGUCAUGGGCUGCAGCCUGAAGUUGAAAAGUCUGGUUUUAAGCUGAUCUCUCUGGUGGCAGGGUAAAGAAUGGAAGGCAACAGGAAGAGCCCAGAGAGGAGGCUGGCAGCUUGUGUCUUCUGCCAUGGUUCAGGAGAGAGGUAGGGAGACUCUGUAGCAGGGCCAGGUGACAGGAAGGCAAGUGUGCUUCAGAGAAAGAGUCCAGCUUCAUUGUGUGGGCAGGCCCUGCCACUCCAGCUGCCUGGGGUAUGCUCAGAGGGACAGGGGAGGCCUGCACAGACUCAGCCAGACACCCCAAGGACAACACACGCAGAGUGCAACCAGGUGCU
rnacentral:lncRNA from 10 species